CGUACACUCCUGCGGGAGGCAGCAGUGGGGAAUUUUGGACAAUGGGCGAAAGCCUGAUCCAGCCAUGCCGCGUGCAGGAUGAAGGCCUUCGGGUUGUAAACUGCUUUUGUACGGAACGAAACGGCCUUUUCUAAUAAAGAGGGCUAAUGACGGUACCGUAAGAAUAAGCACCGGCUAACUACGUGCCAGCAGCCGCGGUAAUACGUAGGGUGCAAGCGUUAAUCGGAAUUACUGGGCGUAAAGCGUGCGCAGGCGGUUAUGUAAGACAGUUGUGAAAUCCCCGGGCUCAGCCUGGGAACUGCAUCUGUGACUGCAUAGCUAGAGUACGGUAGAGGGGGAUGGAAUUCCGCGUGUAGCAGUGAAAUGCGUAGAUAUGCGGAGGAACACCGAUGGCGAAGGCAAUCCCCUGGACCUGUACUGACGCUCAUGCACGAAAGCGUGGGGAGCAAACAGGAUUAGAAACCCUUGUAGUCCCAUGAU
rnacentral:rRNA from 1 species